GGUGACUUCCUGUUUCCACCCAGGUGGCUUCCUGUUUCCACCCAGAGGCUUUCUGGGGACAUCAGAAUUGGACCUUCCGGUGGUUCCAGAAGAAUACCAAGGAGGAACCUGAGGCUGAGAGAGGAGUCACAGCGGGGUCAAGAGGUAGAAGCCCCUUGACCCCUGGAAGCGGCAGCCUCCUCAUGGAAGAAGAGGGUUUGGCUGGAACGGCGUCUUCUCUCCCACCGAGUCCUGGACUUUUCAGAACCAGCUCCUGCACCUGAUGCCUUGGGAUCCUCACGGGGCUGAUGAACAAAGCUGGUCUUUGCAGCAGCUGGGAUGGGACAGCAGGUGGGUAACGGGCCUGCUGUGAGGGUCCUGCACGCGCCCCCGUGUGUGUGUGUGUGUGGGGGGGGGGAGCAAGCCCAGCCCUCAUGCCUCUGGGUGACUGACGGGCUCAGACUCUCUCUGCGGUUCCCUACACAGUGUCCCUGUCCUGGGCACCAGUGCUCCUGAGAGCCAGGCGGUGCUCUGGGUGCCCGGAAGAGAGCAGGGGCUUAGGUUCUGGUCGGGGGAGACAGGCGGUGCCGUGGGCACCUGCCGAGCGCUGACCUAGGGCGUCCGGCUGCACAGGGACGUAUCUGGGUCUCUGCUGAGCGCUGGGCCUUCCGUGGGGGCCCCAGGUGGGGACGUGCGGAGGUCCCGAGCCCUUCUGCGGCGUUUCCGCGCCCACCAGACCUGUGACAGGCCUGUGCUAUCCUCGCCACAUUCCCGGCGGCCGCGUGUGCCUGUGGAGCAACGGCCGGUAUUUCCCAGCCCUGCCCAGUGCUUUCCGGCGGGUGUCUCCUUCACAACUUACUGUCUGAGGCAAGUAGCCUCCAUCCUGCAGAGGAGGAGGUGGCCAGAGAGGUCAAGUGCACGGGCCGGGGUCGGGCUUUGACCGCGGGGCCAGCAGUCCGUGCUGGGGAGGCCACGGCCGCCUCCUGUGCUGCGAAGCUCCGGGAACCGCGUUAGGGCACCGCCUGUCCCCGGGGGGCAGUUUCUGCCGUGACAGCACGGAGAUCUGUCAAGUGGAAGGUAACUGAGGACGGACAGAACCAAACCCUGCCUCUCGCUUCUAACCUGAUGCUGUCGUACCCCCGGGGCGGGUAGCAGGAGGAGUGUCUUAUCGGGGCUAUUUGCAGUGCGGUCACUUUUGUGGCCGUGCGAGGCUCUCCCCACGCCCUGCGCCGCUGGCCGGGGGAGGGGCCGGACUGCUCUCGAAGCCGCCAUCCCUCUGGGGCUGGAGGCUGAGCGUGGUUCCUCUUGCGCCAUCGCUCGCCUCCGCCUGCACGCCACGUUGUCCCCAAAGCGUCGGCAGGGGGCUGUCUGCAGCAUCACGGAGGAAGCGUUGGCCUGGCGUGUGGUAGGCAGCCACCCGAUGCAGCAACGCAGCCGCCCCUCGUGGGGCUUUGCAGGUGCUGCGGCUUUUGCCGCUCGAAGGGUCGUGAUGACCCCACACCGAGCAAGUCCAUCGGCACCAAUGUCCCAACCCCGUUGGCUCGCUUCGUGUCUCUGUGUCGCGUUGGGCCGAUUCCCCCAAUAUUUCAAACGUUCUCACGAUUGUUUCAUCCGUUGCGGCGACCUGUGGCCGGCGCCCUUCGAGGUUACCGUUGUGAUUGGUUCGGGCCCCCGCGAACCCCACCCGGGUGAGAGACGGUGGCCUUGAUAAACGUCGUGUGCGCUCCGACGGCUCCUCGCACUGGCCGUUCUUUCCAAGGAACAUGAAGCCCGGACGGCAGCGCGUCUGUUCACAACACGGUUUACUGAAUAGCUGAAGCCCGCUGUGCUGCUCAGAAAAAGAAAGAUUUCUUCCAACACGUUACUGCCCGUGGACAAAGCACCCGGGCGCCCGAGAGCUCUGAUGGAGACGGACAAAGAGAGCAACGUUGCGUCCAUCGCUGAUAGCACAGCAUCCGUCCCGCAGCCCAUGGAUCGAGGAGGCGCUUUGACUUUCGAGUCUUGUUACUUAAGAAAUGCAUGUCCGGGCCUGGGUGGCUCGGUCCGUUAAGUGUCCGACUUCGGCUCAGGUCAUGAUCUUGCAGUCCGUGGGUUCGAGCCCCGCAUCGGGCUCUGGGCUGACAGCUCGGAGCCUGGAGCCUGCCUCGGAUUCUGUGUCUCCCUCUCUUUGUGCCCCUCCCCCACUCAUGCUCUCUCCCUCUCUCUCUCUCAAAAAUAAACAUUCAAAAAAUUUUUUUAAAAAAGGGUCUGAAAAUGUAAACAAAGGACUGACUGUGUCAGGGGAGAAAUUGCAGACUC